UACGAAGGGGCUAGCGUUGUUCGGAAUCACUGGGCGUAAAGCGCACGUAGGCGGAUCUUUAAGUCAGGGGUGAAAUCCCGAGGCUCAACCUUGGAACUGCCUUUGAUACUGGGGAUCUCGAGUCCGGAAGAGGUGAGUGGAACUGCGAGUGUAGAGGUGAAAUUCGUAGAUAUUCGCAAGAACACCAGUGGCGAAGGCGGCUCACUGGUCCGGUACUGACGCUGAGGUGCGAAAGCGUGGGGAGCAAACAGG
rnacentral:rRNA from 1 species